rnacentral:rRNA from 1 species
GAUGAACGCUGGCGGCGUGCCUAAUACAUGCAAGUCGAGCGAACAGACGAGGAGCUUGCUCCUCUGACGUUAGCGGCGGACGGGUGAGUAACACGUGGAUAACCUACCUUUAAGACUGGGAUAACUUCGGGAAACCGGAGCUAAUACCGGAUAAUAUAUUGAACCGCAUGGUUCAAUAGUGAAAGACGGUUUUGCUGUCACUUAUAGAUGGAUCCGCGCCGCAUUAGCUAGUUGGUAAGGUAACGGCUUACCAAGGCAACGAUGCGUAGCCGGCCUGAGAGGGUGAUCGGCCACACUGGAACUGAGACACGGUCCAGACUCCUACGGGAGGCAGCAGUAGGGAAUCUUCCGCAAUGGGCGAAAGCUUGACGGAGCAACGCCGCGUGAGUGAUGAAGGUCUUCGGAUCGUAAAACUCUGUUAUUAGGGAAGAACAAAUGUGUAAGUAACUAUGCACGUCUUGACGGUACCUAAUCAGAAAGCCACGGCUAACUACGUG